GUCUCCACUUGAUGUGUAAGGACCAAUAAUAAUGGAGAAGUAUGGACCGACAAAAUGAACACAGGUUAACUUGGUUUGAAAGAAAAGAAAUGCACGACAAAAUUAAUUAGUGUAAUCAUGUAAUCCAUUACAAAGUAAUUUAUUAAUUUUUUAAAUCGACUAAUGUAAUCGUGUAAACGAUUACAGUGCAAUUAAGUAAAAAAUUUGUUAUUUCAAACCA